rnacentral:rRNA from 1 species
GCCAGCAGCCAUAUCACUCUGCAACUCAGAACUGGCAACCCACUGAAGCUAAGCAUCUGUGAACCUGGUCAGUACCUGGAUGGGAGACCUCCUGGGAAAAACUAAGGUUGCUGCUGGAA